rnacentral:rRNA from 1 species
CCUACGGGGGCAGCAGUGGGGAAUAUUGGACAAUGGGCGAAAGCCUGAUCCAGCCAUGCCGCGUGUGUGAAGAAGGCCUUCGGGUUGUAAAGCACUUUCAGUGGGGAAGAAAGCCUUGGGGCUAAUACCCUCGAGGAAGGACAUCACCCACAGAAGAAGCACCGGCUAACUCCGUGCCAGCAGCCGCGGUAAUACGGAGGGUGCGAGCGUUAAUCGGAAUUACUGGGCGUAAAGCGCGCGUAGGCGGUCUGAUAAGCCGGUUGUGAAAGCCCCGGGCUCAACCUGGGAACGGCAUCCGGAACUGUCAGGCUAGAGUGCAGGAGAGGAAGGUAGAAUUCCCGGUGUAGCGGUGAAAUGCGUAGAGAUCGGGAGGAAUACCAGUGGCGAAGGCGGCCUUCUGGACUGACACUGACGCUGAGGUGCGAAAGCGUGGGUAGCAAACAGGAUUAGAUACCCUGGUAGUC